AUUGAACGCUGGCGGCAUGCCUUACACAUGCAAGUCGAACGGCAGCGGGGGAGAAGCUUGCUUUUCCUGCCGGCGAGUGGCGAACGGGUGAGUAAUACAUCGGAACGUGCCCUGUAGUGGGGGAUAACUAGUCGAAAGAUUAGCUAAUACCGCAUACGACCUGAGGGUGAAAGUGGGGGACCGCAAGGCCUCAUGCUCUAGGAGCGGCCGAUGUCUGAUUAGCUGGUUGGUGGGGUAAAGGCCUACCAAGGCGACGAUCAGUAGCUGGUCUGAGAGGACGAUCAGCCACACUGGGACUGAGACACGGCCCAGACUCCUACGGGAGGCAGCAGUGGGGAAUUUUGGACAAUGGGCGAAAGCCUGAUCCAGCAAUGCCGCGUGUGGGAAGAAGGCCUUCGGGUUGUAAAGCACUUUUGUCCGGAAAGAAAUGGCUCUGGUUAAUACCUGGGGUCGAUGACGGUACCGGAAGGAUAAGGACCGGCUAACUACGUGCCAGCCGCCGCCGUAA
rnacentral:rRNA from 1 species